GAAGCUUGAGUCUAUGUUAUUGG
rnacentral:siRNA from 1 species